rnacentral:lncRNA from 1 species
UUUCCUCCUUUCUUCCAUUUUGUUUACUUUCACCGUCUCCUCGAGCAUUUUGGCUGAAAACGUCGCAUUUCCGCACGCUAUAUUUAAUUUGAACGUUUUGACGUCGGGCACUUGUAAUUAAUUGAUUCCCAUGUCACGGCAUCUGCCUAGACUUAUAAAACUUCGACCAUAGACCAUGCAUAGAGCUGUAAAUAACAUUAUAUAAACUUUAAUUUCAUACCUUAAAAGCUGAAAUACAGGGGAUACUCGUGGUAAUAAAUUGUUGUGUUUUCGGUUUUUUUUUUUUGUCAAUUGUCGAUUGCGGAGCUGUGUUUAGUUUGUAAAUGUACAGCGUAUGUUAUGUUACCGAAUUUAUUAGAUAAUAUGAAUAAUAAAAUAAAAAACUUCUGAUAUAAAAUCGGACUUUUAUGUCAAUUAGUCACAUAACAACACGUGUUUUUCGAUUAAUAUAAGGAGAAAUUGAUUUUUGAGUACGUCUUUAGAAUGCCGUUGUCAUAGUGAACAAAGGGGAAUAAUCCAAGAACCUCCUAAAAGAAGAUCGGCCUAUUUCGAUCCCAAACAUGCAAUGAAAUAUUAUCAACCGGUCGAAAACAAACUAAAUCAAUUGAAAAUUUGAACCAUGCAGUUAAACCACUCUGAUAAACGGUACUGUUUGUGUAAGGCAAAGCUAAUUAAUAAAAAAAAAAAGAGAUUCCUGCAAUUGAUACAUGUAUUUAAUACAGUAAUAUUAUUAUAUACUUCACAGAAAAAUCAACUAUACAUGUAAAUCAACAAAAGUGGAC